UUCGCAAUGCCCGAAAGGGUGACGAAGCGACGCCGCGUGGGUGAGGAAGGCCUUCGGGUUGUAAAGCCCUGUCAGGAGUUAAGAAAUGUAAGUGUGCUAAUAUCGCGUUUACUUGACGAAGGCUCCAAAGGAAGUCACGGCUAACUCUGUGCCAGCAGCCGCGGUAAUACAGAGGUGGCAAGCGUUGUUCGGAAUUAUUGGGCGUAAAGAGCACGUAGGUGGGUUUGUAAGUCAGAUGUGAAAGCCUUCUGUUCAACGGAAGAAUUGCAUCUGAAACUGCGAGUCUUGAGUGUAGGAGGGGAGAAUGGAACUUCUGGUGGAGCGGUGAAAUGCGUAGGUAUCAGAAGGAACGCCGGCGGCGAAAGCGAUUCUCUGGCCUAUUACUGACACUCAGUGUGCGAAAGCUAGGGGAGCAAACGGGAUUAGAUACCCCGGUAGUCCUAGCCGUAAACGAUGGGCACUAAGUAGAGGGGUUUU
rnacentral:rRNA from 2 species